rnacentral:rRNA from 1 species
UGGGGAAUAUUGGACAAUGGGGGCAACCCUGAUCCAGCGAUGCCGCGUGAGUGAAGAAGGCCUUCGGGUCGUAAAGCUCUUUAGGUUGGGAAGAAGGACAUUAAGUGAAUAGCUUAGUGUUUUGACGGUACCGACAGAAUAAGCACCGGCAAACUCUGUGCCAGCAGCCGCGGUAAUACAGAGGGUGCGAGCGUUAAUCGGAAUGACUGGGUGUAAAGGGCGCGUAGGCGGUAUGAUGUGUGUGAUGUGAAAGCCCCGGGCUUAACCUGGGAAGUGCAUCGCAAACUGUUGUACUAGAGUAUAUGAGAGGGUGACGGAAUUUCCGGUGUAGCGGUGAAAUGCGUAGAGAUCGGAAGGAACGUCAAUGGCGAAGGCAGUCACCUGGCAUAAUACUGACGCU